GCCCUGCUAGCUCAAUCGGUAGAGCGUGAGACUUUUACUAGCCUCGGCAGCAAGUUUAAUUCAUCUCAAGGCUGCGGGUUCGAGCCCCGCGUGGGGCU
rnacentral:tRNA from 1 species